rnacentral:tRNA from 1 species
GCGGUGGUAGCGUAGUGGUUAAGGAGCUGGGCUAGCAUGUCUGAUUAAAUCUGUAAAGUUGUGGGUUCAAUUCCCAGCUGCCACC